GCUGGUGUAGCUCAACUGGUAGAGCAGCGCACUUGUAAUGCGCAGGUUGCGGGUUCGAGUCCCAUCACCAGCUCCA
rnacentral:tRNA from 1 species